UUGUUAACAUCCCAAUCAAUACCACCACGACACAAAAUCCAGCUUCAACUUUCCAGCUGCAGCGCGGGCCGUAGGGCUUUUUUUUAUUUUCUUUCCCAGCUAACACCCUAAAUCCUAUUUUUCCAGCUCCUUUGAGCCCCGCUGGGAGAUAUUAAGGUGUUAUUAUCGCUCCCCGUUGCUGCGGGGGAACGGGGGGAAUGCUAACGAGGGAGACUCGUCCUGUCCUCUCCAUCAGUUCACCUCUCCCACCGCUGCGAGCUUUUAAAAAUAACAAAUUGCGGGUUAUCCUUCCUUUCUUUGGGAGGGUGACCUUUAGGGUUUGCAACGCACUUCGCCGAGGGAUAAAAAAAGAAAUUUAUUUUCCAGGAGAAAAAGGAGAGGAUAGCUGCGAUUCUCAGAGGCAUUAGGAAUUGGACCUUGAGGGGGGUAAAAAAGAGUAUUUUGAGGAGCCUGAUAAAUUGAAGAGCUGCUGGAAUGUGGAUUCGUCAGGAGCAGGCAGCAUCCAGGAAUAUUCCCAUGGGCAAAAGGAAAAGCAUCCUAUUCCCGUUGAAGCCAGCGGCAAAUCCCUGGAUGUGCAGGACCCGGAUACAAACAGGGGUGACCUCUCUUUGUUCGGGGUGCAGAUCCAGGACCACUCUUCCCAGAGGCCUUCCCUCCCUCCCAGCAUCCUGGCUGACAUCCCCCCCACCUUCCCGUUCAGCCCCGGAUAAACGAUGGAGAAUCAGGCUGGAGAUCUUCCUGCAACACUAUUUGAUAAAAUAUAAUUCAAACAUUUCCUCUGUGUUAACAGCUCUGAAAUAAAACCCCCAGAACACAGGAAUAUGUGAUAUCCAUAA